rnacentral:rRNA from 1 species
AGAAUGAACGUUGGCGGCGUGGAUUAGGCAUGCAAGUCGAACGGAUUUGGUAGCAAUACCAGGUCAGUGGCGUAAGGGUGAGUAAGGCGACGGCAACCAACCCCAUGGUUGGGCAUAGCCGCGGGAAACUGCGGGUAAUUCCCAGCGAUGUUCGUACCGGGCAUCCGGUGUGAACCAAAGUUCUGGCGCCGUGGGACGGGCCGUCGUGGUAUUAGGUAGUUGGCGGGGUAAUGGCCCACCAAGCCUCCGAUGCCUACCGGGCGUGCGAGCGUGGCCCGGCACACUGGGACUGAGACACUGCCCAGACUCCUACGGGAGGCUGCAGUCGAGAAUCUUCGGCAAUGGGCGCAAGCCUGACCGAGCGACGCCGCGUGGAGGAUGAAGGCCUUCGGGUUGUAAACUCCUGUCGAGGGGGAGGAAGGCGUAAGCUUGACCUAUCCCUGGAGGAAGCACGGGCUAAGUUCGCGCCAGCAGCCGC